AAAAAAGAAGAAGAAGAAGAAGAAAGAUAAUAGGUAAAAUUAUCUUCUUCUUUUUUUUGGCAUUAAUAUGAACUGUUCAAUUUACCUUUUUGUUUAGUUACCAUUAUAUUUAAGUUUGAACUCUUUUAUUUUAUUUUUUGCAAUGGACAUGAGGAUUUAAAUUUUUUUUUGUUUCUAAUUUGAUUGGAGUCUUUGUCUUGGGUUGGAAUCCAAUAAACUAUCAAGCCUCUAUAUAUCCUCUUCUUCUUCUUCUUCUUCUU
rnacentral:lncRNA from 1 species